rnacentral:rRNA from 1 species
AACGAACGCUGGCGGCAUGCCUAACACAUGCAAGUCGAACGAGACCUUCGGGUCUAGUGGCGCACGGGUGCGUAACGCGUGGGAACCUGCCCUUAGGUUCGGAAUAACUCCCCGAAAGGGGUGCUAAUACCGGAUAAUGUCUUCGGACCAAAGAUUUAUCGCCUUUGGAUGGGCCCGCGUUGGAUUAGCUAGUUGGUAGGGUAAAAGCCUACCAAGGCGACGAUCCAUAGCUGGUCUGAGAGGAUGAUCAGCCACACUGGGACUGAGACACGGCCCAGACUCCUACGGGAAGCAGCAGUGGGGAAUAUUGGACAAUGGGCGAAAGCCUGAUCCAGCAACGCCGCGUGAGUGAUGAAGGCCUUAGGGUUGUAAAGCUCUUUUACCCGGGAUGAUAAUGACAGUACCGGGAGAAUAAGCUCCGGCUAACUCCGUG